AGCGCCUCACAUGUGCUAGGCAAGUGCUCUACCACUGAGCCACAACCUCAGCCCUAUAUGUAGAUAUUUUGGAUGUUAACUUUGUCACUUGAUUAAGAUCACAAUUGCUAGAUUUAUCCACAAUAAAGUUACCCCCACACACUUUCCAUGCUGUAUUCUUUGGAAGCCAGUGGCUACAUCCAUCUCACAGGAGGGUGGGACUAGUUUAUUUAUUUAUCUAUUUAUUUGUUUAUUUUUAUGGGUACUGAGGAUCGAACCCAGGGCCUCGCACGUACUAGGUGAGCGCUCUACCGCUGACACAACCCCAGCCCCCUGUGUGACCUUUUAAUGAUGAAAGCUGGAUUAUAUCAAAUUUCCUGCUUGUGCUUUUGGAUGGCUGCCCACUGUGCGCAGAGUGAGAGGAACAUAUAGGUGCAUGUUUCUGUUCUCUUGCUCUGUGAUCUAUGAGUAUAUUUCCAAAAGCCAACACACCAGGCUUGUUUAGAGUACCUCAGAACUAAUGGUGAACGCAUCUUACAUGUGGCGCUCAUGAGGACCUCGUGAUACCAAGAACUGUGGUGCAGAACCUUGGAAUACAGAAGAUUACAUUUUACAGGAAAAAUGUUCCCUCAACUGUCAGGAAGAAAUGAUAAAUGUGAAUUUGGACAAUUCUAUCAUUAUUUAAUUUAUUUAUUUAUUUA